rnacentral:tRNA from 1 species
UAGCUCAGUCAGUAGAGCGUAGUGCUGGCAACGCCAAAGUCGUGGGUUUGAUUCCCGU